rnacentral:rRNA from 1 species
CACGUAGGGUGCGAGCGUUGUCCGGAAUUAUUGGGCGUAAAGAGCUCGUAGGCGGUGUGUCACGUCGGCCGUGAAAACCUGCAGCUUAACUGUGGGCGUGCGGUCGAUACGGGCAUCACUGGAGUUCGGCAGGGGAGACUGGAAUUCCUGGUGUAGCGGUGAAAUGCGUAGAGAUCAGGAGGAACACCCGGGGCGAAGGCGGCCCUCUGGCUCGACCCUGACGCUGAGGCGCGAAAGCGUGGGGAGCGAACGGG